UAGUUGGUAAGGUAAUGGCUUACCAAGGCGACGAUCAGUAGCCGACCUGAGAGGGUGAUCGGCCACACUGGAACUGAGACACGGUCCAGACUCCUACGGGAGGCAGCAGUGGGGAAUAUUGCACAAUGGGCGCAAGCCUGAUGCAGCAACGCCGCGUGAACGAAGAAGGCUUUCGGGUCGUAAAGUUCUUUUCUUAGGGAAGAAAGAUGACGGUACCUAAGGAAUAAGCACCGGCUAAAUACGUGCCAGCAGCCGCGGUAAUACGUAUGGUGCAAGCGUUUUCCGGAAUCACUGGGCGUAAAGGGUACGUAGGCGGUGAUGCAAGUCAGAAGUGAAAGGCUACGGCUCAACCGUAGUAAGCUUUUUGAAAACUGCAUGACUAGAGUUCAGGAGAGGUAAGUGGAAUUCCUAGUGUAGAGGUGAAAUUCGUAGAUAUUAGGAGGAACACCAGUGGCGAAGGCGACUUACUGGACUGAUACUGACGCUGAGGUACAAAGCGUGGGGAGCGAACAGGAUUAGAUACCCUGGUAGUCCACGCCGUAAACGAUGAAAUACUAGGUGUCGGGGGUCGAACCUCGGUGCCGCAGUUAACACAUUAAGUAUCCGCCUGGGGAGUACGCACGCAAGUGUGAAACUCAAAAGGAAUUGACGGGGACCCGCACAAGCAGCGGAGCAUGUGGUUUUAAUUCGAAGCAACGCGAAGAACCUUACCAAGUCUUUGACAUCCCCAUGACCAUCAUUUAACCAUGAUUUCCCUUCGGGGUAUGAGUGACAGGUGGUGCAUGGUUGUCGUCAGCUCGUGUCGUGAGAUGUUGGGUUAAGUCCCGCAACGAGCGCAACCCUUGUCUUUAGUUGUCAUCAAGUAAUGUUGGACCCUCUAGAGAGACUGCCGGUGAUAAACCGGAGGAAGGUGGGGAUGACGUCAAAUCAUCAUGCCCCUUAUGAUUUGGGCUACACACGUGCUACAAUGGUCGGUACAACAGGCAGUGAAAGGGUAACCUGGAACGAAUCCUCUAAAGCCGAUCUCAGUUCGGAUUGUGGGCUGCAACUCGCCCACAUGAAGUUGGAGUUGCUAGUAAUCGUGAAUCAGAAUGUCGCGGUGAAUGCGUUCCCGGGUCUUGUACACACCGCCCGUCACACCGUGGAAGUUGGGGGCGCCCGAAGCCAGUGAUCCAACCGUAAGGAGGAAGCUGUCGAAGGUGAAACCAAUGACUAGGGUG
rnacentral:rRNA from 1 species